AUUGAACGCUGGCGGCAGGCCUAACACAUGCAAGUCGAACGAGUGGCGGACGGGUGAGUAAUGUCUGGGAAACUGCCUGAUGGAGGGGGAUAACUACUGGAAACGGUAGCUAAUACCGCAUACCAUCGGAUGUGCCCAGAUGGGAUUAGCUAGUAGGUGGGGUAAAGGCUCACCUAGGCGACGAUCCCUAGCUGGUCUGAGAGGAUGACCGGCCACACGGGAACUGAGAAACGGUCCAGACUCCUACGGGAGGCAGAGGUGGGGAAUAUUGGACAAGGGGCGAAAGCCUGAUGCAGCAAGGCCGCGUGUAUGAAGAAGGCCUUCGGGUUGUAAAGUACUUUCAGCGGGGAGGCGUUACCGGCAGAAGAAGCACCGGCUAACUCCGUGCCAGCAGCCGCGGUAAUUC
rnacentral:rRNA from 1 species